AUGGCCUCGGGCAAUCGCGCACUCCCGAUCGAGAACGGCGAGGUCCUCCCUGCCGCCGGAGGCAAUGGCGAGGGCGGGAACGGCGGCAGCGGCGACGGAUUCAACCGCAACCGCUCCUCCGUGGACCAGCAGAUCGAUGAUAUGCGGAGGAGGCUGCGGGAGUUGGAGGAGACCGAGCGCGAGAUGCUAGCCGUCGCCGCCGCCGCUACGCAUGAAGAUCCAGCUGCAGCGGUAACCGCACUCGAAAAGGCAGAGGUGGAUGCUCGCUCCAUCUAUGUUGGAAAUGAGGUCACCCAGGUUCAGGAGGUCACCCAGGUUCUAUCCCUAUUACUGAUUCUGCCGGGUUGCUGUGACUUCAGUUUUUUGCUAGCGAAUUUCCAUGAUACAUACAGAAGAUACAGGCAAAGACACUGA
rnacentral:rRNA from 1 species